rfam:Aedes albopictus isolate Foshan contig30687, whole genome shotgun sequence.
UGCCCAGCAACUCCUAUCCCUACCUCCUCGCGGUACCGGCCGAGCAACCUUAGGGAAGAUCGGGUAACUAACCCCGAUGGGAACUUUGGUCGUAGGCUGACAGAGAAGG